AGCCGCCGUGUCGCACAGUGGCAGAGCAUCUGGUAUGCAUUCAGAAGGCCCCAGCUUCAAUCCCUGGCAGUGCUG